rnacentral:rRNA from 1 species
AUACGCAGGGGGCGAGCGUUGUCCGGAAUGAUUGGGCGUAAAGGGCGCGUAGGCGGCGCGGUAAGUCUGGAGUGAAAGUCCUGCUUUCAAGGUGGGAAUUGCUUUGGAUACUGCCGCGCUUGAGUGCAGGAGAGGUUAUCGGAAUUCCCGGUGUAGCGGUGAAAUGCGUAGAGGUCGGGAGGAACACCAGUGGCGAAGGCGGGUUUCUGGACUGUGUCUGACGCUCAGAUGCGAAAGCCAGGGUAGCGAACGGGAUUAGAUACCCCGGUAGUCCUGGCCGUAAACGAUGGGUACUAGGUGUGGGAGGUAUCGACUCCUUCCGUGCCGGAGUUAACGCAAUAAGUACCCCGCCUGGGGAGUACGGCCGCAAGGCUUAAACUCAAAGGAAUUGACGGGG